GAGACGGAGAAAACCACCACCACCAUCCUUCUCCUUCAGUUUCAUCCUCUUUCACCACUACCACCAUCACCACCACCGCCCUCUUCUUUGUUUUUUUUCUUUCUCUUCAUUUUCUCGGUAGUUUUUUGUAUCUCUUUCUCAUCUUUCUUCGUCCCCAAAUCAUGUAACAAUUUUCUACGGAAACUUUUCCUUAAUCUACGUUAUUCAAUUUCAACUGGGUGAAUCGAUAGAAACAACAUCUCAACAUCAAAUGGGACAACAAUAAUCUAAUUAAUUAACCUAUUUUCAGUUUUGAUGUUUGAUUUUAAGGAGAACUCACAUCAAAUCGAAUUGGGUUGCGGUAGGAAUUGGGUUAAAGGCUACAUGUAAUUUUGAGUUUUCGUACUUACAAAAUUAUUGAUUCCUUUGAUCUCUUAGAUUAUUAUUUCUGUCACUGUAAAAUUUGGGUAUGAGUUUUAUUUUUUUAAUGGUUUUAGUAAUUUUAGUUAAGUUUUAGAUAUGAGUUAAAGAGUUCAUUCUGGGUAUGACCGUCAAUUUCAGGUGAAAUUUAGAAAAUCAAAUCGUUAUUUUUCAGCUUGGGGGUUAAAUGUUCAAUAUUUUCCAUACUUCUAAAUGUUUGUUGAAAUGCCUAAUAGAAAAUAACAUUUAGAUCUGCUUUGGUUAAGAAGUCAUCUGUUUAUAUAAAACUAAUGUUAAAUUUUCAGUUGUGCUUUAUGGUAAUGGAGUGUACACAGGCUCACGGAGAUCAGGUGGGAGUUACAACUUAUAAGGCAUUCUUACUGAACUUGGUAAUGUCAGCUUGCAAAUUUUAGAAACGCAACAAUGUAGAUGGAGACUCAGGUUGACCAUUACGCCCAUUUUAAAGUUCAGGAAUUGGAUGAACUGAAACAUUGAAAAGAUGCAAGUUUCUCAUCAAAGAUGUCAUGUUCCCACAAGGAAACUGCUAACGUUCAUGGAACCUAGGUUAGAUGGGGAAGGAAGGCAACAUCAACACUGUUGGUAUAAUGAAAAUAUUGUUGCUUAUUAAACUACGUGUAUUCAAGCUUCUGCCAACAUAUAUAGUUGAUGCAAACCCAGAUGAGGUAGAUGCAGCUGGCAUAACAACGUGGGUGUUUUCACGAUAUACACAACCCAAUCCAAUACUAGACUGGGGUUUCUUCUUGACAAUAUGUUGAUAUUGAAUUUCAUUCAUGGCGGUACCUUAUAAGCAAAGUGAUAUUUGGUCUUUGUAUUUUUUCUCAUGUCUGUCGCAAUAUCUGUAAAAGACGCAGGCAAAAACACUUAUGUUGCUUCUUUAUUUUAUUUUUGUAAAUGAAUAUUUUUUAUUUCGGGA